AUCUGCCGCCGGUGUUCAGGACGAUACGCACUAACCAUGGCGGCAGCGACUGCGAGCAUUGGAGCUCUGUGGAGCCUAAGAAGAGCAGCUCGAUCUUCCAGUUUCCGAACUCCCCUUGCCGUUAAUCUCGGCAAGGUCUCAUUCCACGAGGCCCGGUUUCCCUCUUCUCCAUCUUCUCCUCUUGGCGCCUCAGGAAUGUGCCAAUUAGUGCAGGCUGUGAAGGGAGACAUUGAUGUUUUACUCAAUGGAGUUGGAGAUAAAGGUGUUAUUGUAGAUGUGAAACAUAUUCUUGUUAUGGCCAAACGUUCGUUAUCGAGACGAGAAGUUCUCCAUACAAACUUUCUCACUCCACCUGUGGUGAAAGAGUCGAUGCUAGCCAUUCAGAAACUAGCCGACGUUAAAGCAAUAGCGCAGGGAGGAUAUCCAGAGGCAGAGCGCUGUCGGAUUUCUGUUGGGCAUGCUGAUGAACUAACAAGUGAUCCAGACGUCGUUUCGGCAUUGAGUAUCACAGGAAAUUUUGUGUUUCAGACCUGCACACAUGGGGACUUCCUUGGAGCAAUUCUUGGCACAGGCAUUGCUAGGGAAAAGCUUGGUGAUAUCAUACUCCAGGAAGAGAAGGGAGCUCAAGUAGUUAUUGUUCCAGAACUCGUCGACUUCCUUGUAUCAUCGCUGCGCAAGGUUGGCAAUGUCACGGUUUCUUGUACGAGGAUUCCAUUGACAGAUCUCGAUUAUGAACCACCGAAGACUAAGACAUUUAAAACCAUUGAGGCAUCUCUUAGGGUUGAUGCUCUAGCAAGUGCUGGAUUCAAGAUUUCACGGUCUAAACUAGUGGAUUUCAUCAGCAGUGGCGGUGAUGUACGUGUCAAUUGGACGACGAUUACUAAAAAUGGAACCAUACUAAAGACUGGUGAUAUUGUUUCUGUUAGUGGGAAAGGGAGACUAAAGAUUGGCGAAAUAAAUCCUACAAAGAAGGGAAAAUUCGCCAUCGAGCUUAUCAAGUACGUGUAAGCUCUGGUGUAUUGGAUCGUUCGGAGUUGAACUGGGUAAAGAUUGUCAUGGAAUCUCCCUCGAGGUCGAACAUCAAGGAAGCAUGAGAAUAAUUAAAUUUCAUCAGAUUAGAGAGAGAAAUUCUCAGAAGGUCCACAUAUACGCACCCAAAUCGGCGGAACCCAUAGUCCUCGAAUCCUCCGGCGACGGAGCACCACCGCACCCAUCCACGUCAGCGGCACCGGAGAGGAGAUGAACCAGCGGCGGACUCACAGGGGAGAAGAACGGCGCCUGCAGAUUCUCCUGGAUGCUCCGAAGGUUCGGGAAGGCCGAGACGGAGAGAUUAUGACCACCACCAGCCGGGAAGCUUGCAGCGGGGUAGCUCAGGUUGUUGGUGGAGAAACAGGUCACGUGCAGCUGGUGCUCCCUUUGGUCGUCGAGAGAGCUGCCGUCGCGGUUGGCGAAGGCGGAGGUGCUGAUACUGGUAUCAGCAGCAGCAG